ACCUGGUUGGCUCAGUCGGUGGAGCGAGAGACUCUUGAUCUCUGGGUUGUGAGUUCGAGCCCCACAUGGGGUA
rnacentral:tRNA from 1 species